rnacentral:lncRNA from 1 species
AUGACCUUAAUUCUCUCCAAGACAGACAGUUUAAUUAACACUGGAGGAAUCCUCACCGGCUCCAGACCUUUGCGAUGGGAAUGUUCAGGGGAAUUGGAUUGCCAAGAAUGCAUAAUACAGCGUGGAUGCAGUGAUUCCUGUCCUUCCCACCAGAAACACACAGCACAGUUACUCCAUCACUACCCCCAGCAGAGGAGUGUGUUUGCUUUAAGUGGAUAGCGACUGAACGCAGCAUUCAGGUAUGUUUGUUCCUACCUGGAAUCCUAAAUCGUGCAUCACCACAUGUAGCACAGUAUAAAGCCUUAAAGUGAACUUUUUUUUGUGAAGACUGAGCUGGUGAAACUUUGAUUUCACUGUAAAGAAAAGAAAAAAGGCAGAUCAAAGUAUCUUUCUCUAUAAGAUGGACUAAUGUUAAAGAGUCCAGCAUUUUUGUCAGACUUCUAACAAAAAUAAUCAUAGACUUGAAUAUAAUUUCAAAUUUGAUCUUGUUGACUUGUAAAUGCUUGUCCAAGUAGUUUACAAAGCACCAAGUUACAGUAUAGUGUGACUCUCUGACUUUACUUCACCAGCAUCACAACAUCCCCCUCCAUAA